GCUCUUCUAGUAUAUCCAUUACAAUAGACUUCCAAUCUUUAAAAUCUGGUCAUAAUCCCAGAGAAGAGCA
rnacentral:tRNA from 1 species